ACAGAAGGGAAAAUAGAGGGCAAACCGUGGUACUCGAAGAAAGAAAAUGCGACUAAAACUGAACCUUAUGAGCCUUAUCAGUUUGUCGGACUCUUUAUCUGCAAAGAACAUAAUGGAGUUAGAUGUCUGGGAACGAUUCAAGGCUAUAAUCCUGAAAUGAAUAAUAAGCUCAGAGUUGAGUACAAAGUUGAUGGUAGUAUAGAAUAUUUGACCCAAAUUGAGGCUUUGUAUGCUAUGGCAAAGAGUGAUGACUUUUUGACAGCUAAACGAACACCAAAUGCAAGGAAUGGUUCAAAGAAGAAAACCGGUAAGAAAAAGGCUGACAUAGGAGAAGGAUCAACUUCAUCAAAGAAUAAAUGAAUUGCAUCUGCAUCUUCUGGUCAAAAAAUAUGGAGGAAAAGUUUACAACAAUGGAGAAUGAUUAGUUUGGCACAAGAUCUUGAACCUAAAACUAUUUCGUGAUAUUUUCAAACUAUUUUGUGUAAUCUUUAACUUUAAUUUAUGUUACUUUCAUUUAUUUUGGUACAUUUCCCAAUUUACAAGUCUGUUAAACUUGUCGAUGUUCUUUAAAUCCUUUGAAAUGAAUAUAAAACUUGGA